rnacentral:rRNA from 1 species
GACGGAGGAGGCAAGCGUUAUCCGGAAUUAUGGGGCGUAAAGGGUACGUCGGCGGCUGGUCAAGUCUGGGGUCAAAGGCCACAGCUCAACUGUGGGAAGGCCCUGGAAACUGACCGGCUAGAGUGAGGUAGGGGUUGCGGGAAUUCCCGGUGUAGCCGUGAAAUGCGUAGAGAUCGGGAAGAACACCUGAGGCGGAAGCGCGCAACUGGGCCUCAACUGACGCUGAGGUACGAAAGCUAGGGGAGCGAAUGGG